rnacentral:rRNA from 1 species
CUCGAACUAAGAAGAGCUACUUAUUAACUUUUUGAAAUUAGAAAUACAAAGAUUAUGUGGAAAUAUGAUGGUGAUAGAUUAAUAUGUAGGAGCGAAAAACUUUCAAUUCUUAAGAUAUCUAGAAGUUUAAUAAAAGCAUUGAGUGCUGGUUAAUUUAUACAAAAAGUGAUGAGAUUUUUUGUUAAUAAAAUUUUAAAAAUAAUGUUUAACUUUAAAGAUUAAUCUCAGAAAGGUUUAUUGUUUGAAAAUAUCGAUAUUUUAAUGGAUUUAUAUUAUAUUAGACCUUUCUAGAUAGUUUACUGCUAGAAUUCAUAAUGUAUAAAUAAGUAAUAAAUUGACACAAAUUUGUCUAAUACUUGUAAAUAUCAUAUUGUAAGAUAUUUUUUAGAAUUAUAGAGAAGGAACUCGGCAAAUAGGAACUUCGACUGUUUACCAAAAACAUAGCCUAAGGAAUACAUCUUAGGUCAAACCUGCCCAAUGUAAAAUAAUAUUAAUGGCCGCGGUACCUUGACCGUGCUAAGGUAGCGAAAUCAAUUGGCUUUUAAUUGGAGUCAGGUAUGAAUGGAAUUACGUGGUUCAACUGUCUCCUUAAUAAUUAUUUGAAAUUACUAUAUAGAUGAAAAAGUCUAUAACAAGAAAAAAGACGAGAAGACCCUUAGAGUUUUUCUUAAAAUAAAUUUUUAAUAUAUUUACGAAAGUUUAGUUGGGGCAACUAGAGAAAAUAUCAGUAACUUCUCAAAUAUAUACUAGCCGAUUAUUUUAAGUUUGUAUAAACUACCUUAGGGAUAACAGCAUUAUGUAAAAAAUAAGUUUGUGACCUCGAUGUUGGACUGGGAAACUAAAAGGCUAGCCGUUUUUUAGGAAAGUUCUGUUCGAACUAAAAUUCCCACAUGAUCUGAGUUCAGACCGGUGUAAGCCAGGUCAGAUUCUAUCUUUUUAUUUUAAAAAUUUAGUACGAAAGGACCAAUUUUU